UGGGGAAUAUUGGACAAUGGGCGCAAGCCUGAUCCAGCAAUGCCGCGUGAGUGAUGAAGGCCUUAGGGUUGUAAAGCACUUUCAGCGAGGAGGAAGGUGGUGAACUUAAUACGUUCAUCAAUUGACGUUACUCGCAGAAGAAGCACCGGCUAACUCCGUGCCAGCAGCCGCGGUAAUACGGAGGGUGCAAGCGUUAAUCGGAAUUACUGGGCGUAAAGCGCACGCAGGCGGUUUGUUAAGUCAGAUGUGAAAUCCCCGGGCUCAACCUGGGAACUGCAUUUGAAACUGGCAAGCUAGAGUCUCGUAGAGGGGGUGAGAAUUCCAGGUGUAGCGGUGAAAUGCGUAGAGAUCUGGAGGAAUACCGGUGGCGAAGGCGGCCCCCUGGACGAAGACUGACGCUCAGGUGCGAAAGCGUGGGGAGCAAACAGGAUUAGAUACCCCUGGUAGUCCACGCUGUAAAACGAUGUCGAUUUUGGAGGUUGUGCCCCUUGAGGCGUGGCUUCCGGAGCUAACGCGUUAAAUCGACCGCCUGGGGAG
rnacentral:rRNA from 1 species